GCUUGGUUGCCACUUCCCCACCGCCCUUCCCCACUUGGCCGUCAGAGGGCGCCAGUGAGCCUCAUCAGCUCAUAGUCCUCCAAGGCUCAGAAGCUGGCUGUGGUCCCCUCUUAGAGGGAGAGCCAAGUCACCCCCAGGAGCACAAGGUCCUAUAGGAUUAGGCUUCCUUUGUUCCCUCCUGACCUUACUUCGGUCUUCUGCCACUUACUUCCUGAGUUCCAACCCCACUGGUCACCUUGCUGUUGGCUGUUCCUUGAGUCUUAGAUGCUCUUGGCCCAGAGAUCCCUGAUGUUUCCUGCUAUAUUUCAUGCAUGACUCUGCUUAUAUGUAACCUCCCUUGCCACCUGAUCCUGAGACAUGUCAUGUGCAGUUGAACAGGCUGUUCAUUGUACAAGUCACUGUGAAUGGAUGAGAGGGGGCUAGAAUCCAGCUCACCUCCAAAAUCCAGGAGGCUGCAGGAGAAAGGGGCACCAUUUUCUAGUUUACACAAAGGGGACUAGCGCCUCCCUUGAGAAUGUCUGUUGUUGUAGGCCACCCAGUUUGUGGCAUUUUGUUACAGAAGUCCAAGGAGACCAACACACUUCGAUUUGACUCAUCACUGUUUGGUAGCCAAUCCUCAAGAUGUGCGUCAGCCAUAUUGGUGAAUCUGUCUACUCACUGAAAAAAGAAACUU
rnacentral:lncRNA from 1 species